GACUUUUCCCCUUCAUAGAUCAAGGAGAAGGACACUGCGUGGUUUGUCAAGUUCUGCGUUCCCUGGUGCAAGCAUUGUAAGAACUUGGGGACAUUGUGGGAUGAUUUGGGAAAAGCAAUUGAAGGAACUGAUGAAAUAGAGAUUGGGGAAGUGGAUUGCGGUGAUCAUCAAAGGAGCUUUGUGGCAUAUGCUUAUAAUGUAGUGUCGCAUGUUUCUUAAAAUCUCAUGCUAUGUUUGAGUCUACUCUGCACUCUGCUUCUACAUUUAUGAGUUCAAUGAUUGAUAUAUUUUGUUCUUGUAAAAUUCUGAAUUGCAUUUGACAGUUAAUUGAGUAUCAACACUGUCAAGACACAAGUGCGUGAAUAGAGAAAAAUAUUUUUGGAUGAUCUUGGAUUAUUGGAUAUAAUUUAUGUGUGAUUCUUUACUGCUUUAUCUAAUUAUCUAAGCAGCCAUGAAUGAAGAAAGGUAUUCUUUAACUCAAUGAAAAACAUCAUGGCUUUUUUCACCAUCAAUUAUUAACUGAUUUAUCCACUUAAUUAUUUAUUUGUUUUACUUGCUGGAUGCAUGUAUUAUCUAUUCCCCAUUGCACUCUCACCCCAUGUGUUAACCAACGUUUGAGGGAGCAUUAAUAGAUCGAAUUUUAAGUUUACAUGUUUUUUGAGUUGCCAGGUUCAAUGGAUAUUGAUUCAUUGAAGAACUUUGUUUUGGAAGAAGCUGAUAAGGCAGCAACAAAUGCACAAGCACAACAACUAGAUAGUGAUAGAGAACUAUAACUACUUU